rnacentral:rRNA from 1 species
GACGAACGCUGGCGGCGUGCCUAAUACAUGCAAGUCGAACGCUUCUUUUUCCACCGGAGCUUGCUCCACCGGAAAAAGAGGAGUGGCGAACGGGUGAGUAACACGUGGGUAACCUGCCCAUCAGAAGGGGAUAACACUUGGAAACAGGUGCUAAUACCGUAUAACAAUCGAAACCGCAUGGUUUUGAUUUGAAAGGCGCUUUCGGGUGUCGCUGAUGGAUGGACCCGCGGUGCAUUAGCUAGUUGGUGAGGUAACGGCUCACCAAGGCCACGAUGCAUAGCCGACCUGAGAGGGUGAUCGGCCACAUUGGGACUGAGACACGGCCCAAACUCCUACGGGAGGCAGCAGUAGGGAAUCUUCGGCAAUGGACGAAAGUCUGACCGAGCAACGCCGCGUGAGUGAAGAAGGUUUUCGGAUCGUAAAACUCUGUUGUUAGAGAAGAACAAGGAUGAGAGUAACUGUUCAUCCCUUGACGGUAUCUAACCAGAAAGCCACGGCUAACUACGUGCCAGCAGCCGCCGUAA